rnacentral:rRNA from 1 species
AGAGUUUGAUCAUGGCUCAGAUUGAACGCUGGCGGCAGGCCUAACACAUGCAAGUCGAACGGUAACAGGAAGAAGCUUGCUUCUUUGCUGACGAGUGGCGGACGGGUGAGUAAUGUCUGGGAAACUGCCUGAUGGAGGGGGAUAACUACUGGAAACGGUGGCUAAUACCGCAUAACGUCGCAAGACCAAAGAGGGGGACCUUCGAGCCUCUUGCCAUCGGAUGUGCCCAGAUGGGAUUAGCUAGUAGGUGGGGUAACGGCUCACCUAGGCGACGAUCCCUAGCUGGUCUGAGAGGAUGACCAGCCACACUGGAACUGAGACACGGUCCAGACUCCUACGGGAGGCAGCAGUGGGGAAUAUUGCACAAUGGGCGCAAGCCUGAUGCAGCCAUGCCGCGUGUAUGAAGAAGGCCUUCGGGUUGUAAAGUACUUUCAGCGGGGAGGAAGGGAGUAAAGUUAAUACCUUUGCUCAUUGACGUUACCCGCAGAAGAAGCACCGGCUAACUCCGUGCCAGCAGCCGCGGUAAUACGGAGGGUGCAAGCGUUAAUCGGAAUUACUGGGCGUAAAGCGCACGCAGGCGGUUUGUUAAGUCAGAUGUGAAAUCCCCGGGCUCAACCUGGGAACUGCAUCUGAUACUGGCAAGCUUGAGUCUCGUAGAGGGGGGUAGAAUUCCAGGUGUAGCGGUGAAAUGCGUAGAGAUCUGGAGGAAUACCGGUGGCGAAGGCGGCCCCCUGGACGAAGACUGACGCUCAGGUGCGAAAGCGUGGGGAGCAAACAGGAUUAGAUACCCUGGUAGCCCACGCCGUAAACGAUGUCGACUUGGAGGUUGUGCCCUUGAGGCGUGGCUUCCGGAGCUAACGCGUUAAGUCGACCGCCUGGGGAGUACGGCCGCAAGGUUAAAACUCAAAUGAAUUGACGGGGGCCCGCACAAGCGGUGGAGCAUGUGGUUUAAUUCGAUGCAACGCGAAGAACCUUACCUGGUCUUGACAUCCACGGAAGUUUUCAGAGAUGAGAAUGUGCCUUCGGGAACCGUGAGACAGGUGCUGCAUGGCUGUCGUCAGCUCGUGUUGUGAAAUGUUGGGUUAAGUCCCGCAACGAGCGCAACCCUUAUCCUUUGUUGCCAGCGGUCCGGCCGGGAACUCAAAGGAGACUGUUAGUGAUAAACUGGAGGAAGGUGGGGAUGACGUCAAGUCAUCAUGCCCCUUACGACCAGGGCUACACAC